UAGAAAAUAAUAUAAAUGGAAGUAUGGAGGGUUUUGAUCUCUCUGGUGUAGGUUCGAUUCCUGCUUUUCUAG
rnacentral:tRNA from 1 species